UAGCUUAGUGGUUAAGGCUAUGGAUCGCCAAUCCGGAAACGGCGGGUUCGAUUCCCGU
rnacentral:tRNA from 1 species